rnacentral:misc_RNA from 1 species
UCCGUUUUGUCAACGGCAGUCUCAAUAGAGUGCCCGGCCGAACCGCUGGCAACUAAUGACAAGGGUUGCGCUCGUUGCGGGACUUAACCCAACACCUCACGGCACGAGCUGACGACAGCCAUGCAGCACCUAGUUUCGUGCUCUUGCGAGCUGCCAUGUUUCUACGGCAUUCACUAACUUUCAAGCCCAGGUAAGGCUCCUCGCGUAUCAUCGAAUUAAACCACAUGCUCCUCCGCUUGUGCGGGCCCCCGUCAAUUCCUUUGAGUUUCAGCCUUGCGGCCGUACUUCCCAGGUGGAUUACUUAAUGCUUUCGCUCAGAGGCGUGCUGUGUAUUGCACACUUCGAGUAAUCAUCGUUUAGGGCGUGGACUAC